GUACUGCUGAAGAGUCCCAAAUUAGGAUGAAACAGCUGUCCAGUAU
rfam:Trichobilharzia regenti genome assembly, scaffold: TRE_scaffold0117730